ACAGGUCCUAGGAGAGACUGGCAUGCCACCCCACACAGGAGCCAUAUAGGAGGAGCACCUGGAGAGCAUUCUCAACGAAGCAGAAGAGUGGGGCCCCCUAGCUCCUCUCCAGGCCUCUGGGCCCCAGGCUCCUAGAAGAAACAGAGACAGCCUCUCCCGGCCGGCUGCAGAACAAGAACUACGCUACCACGCGCGCCACAACCAGAGAAGCCCGCGGGCCCCAACGAAGACGUAGCGCAUAAUGAAUGAAUGAAUGAGUGAAUAAAUAAAAUAAUUUUUAAAAAAGAAUCACACUACCCAGUAGGCUGUGCUUUGCGGGAUGGCUGUGAGGGCCGGAAUGAUGGCGUCACAGAAAAGGGGCGUUACUGGCUCGCGUUGUCAGGGGCGGGACUUCCUGCGCCGGAGGAGCGGGGUUUUCUUUGUGGUGAGGCUGGUGUGUCCCCACCCACUACGAGCUCUUCCCGGGACUUAGGGAAGGAGCGGGGAGGACAGCCUGGAGGGCCCACCUGUGCCUUUGUACGACCUGGGGGAGGGUCAGCUAAGCCCGCUGGACCCGCCGGUCUCCGGCGCCCUCACGUGGCCCUACGCUCCCCGCGGUGCGAUGGCAGCGCUGGUGACCCCGGCGCAGGUGGUGGUGACCUUUAAGAAUGUGGCUGUGACCAAGAGGAGUGGGGACAACUUGACCUGGACCAGAGGACUCUGUACCAGGAGGUGAUGCUGGAGACCUGUGAGCUACUGUUCUCACUGGGCUACCAAUCCUGAGUGGACCUCCCAACCCAUUGAUGACCUUCGUCAGAACAAGAAAAACUUCCCUGGGUCAGAAGCAGAUGACAUCUGAGUAGACAGCUCAUCGCAAGAGUCGAGACCAGGCCUGUAACCCCAACUUUGUUGAUAGUUUCAGACUGUUUUUCUUUUUUUUAACUGAGGUACCUAUAUACUUGACCUUGUCACAUUGAGGGUCAGUAAGCCUUUUUACCCCUUCCUCAUGUUUUCUUUAAUCCUGAUAAUCCUAAUAUUGGAAUUAUUCAUCUGUCAUAAAAUCUUUACCUUGAGGAAUGACAAAUUGAAAUUGUAAUGGUGUAAUCAUACUCAGGCAUACAAAAUGGAGUUGAGCAGCCAUUAAGGAUCAGAUCUCAGACACAUCCUGGCAUCACUGAGAAUUUGAACUUUCUUUGAACUGUACCAAACCCAAGGACACCAUCAGCCAUAUUUAGAACACUCAGAAGCUUCACCCUUUUGGUCUAAAAUUUCCCCUUGUAACUGCAACCAUUUUGAACCCCAACCAAUCCUUGUUAACAAGCUGCCUUAUUUCUUGCUUGCUCCAAUUAUAAUUCCUGACAGACAACUAUGUAACUCACUAUGGCCUUGCAGUUUUUGCCUUCCAUUUUAACCUUUCUCCAUUUUGUAGUAUAGUAGAAUACAAUUCACAUGCUCCUUGA